UACGUAGGGGGCAAGCGUUGUCCGGAUUUAUUGGGCGUAAAGAGCGUGUAGGCGGCCAUACAGGUCAGCUGUGAAAACUCGAGGCUCAACCUCGAGACGUCGGUUGAAACCGUAUGGCUAGAGUCCGGAAGAGGAGAGUGGAAUUCCCGGUGUAGCGGUGAAAUGCGCAGAUAUCGGGAAGAACACCCGUGGCGAAGGCAGCUCUCUGGGACGGUACUGACGCUGAGACGCGAAAGCGUGGGGAGCGAACAGG
rnacentral:rRNA from 1 species